rnacentral:rRNA from 1 species
CCUACGGGGGGCAGCAGUGGGGAAUAUUGGGCAAUGGGCGCAAGCCUGACCCAGCGACGCCGCGUGAGGGAAGAAGGUCUUCGGCUUGUAAACCUCUUUCAGCGGGGAAGACAAAAGGACGGUACCUGCAGAAGAAGCCACGGCUAACUACGUGCCAGCCGCCGCGGUAAUACGUAGGUGGCAAGCGUUGUCCGGAUUUACUGGGUGUAAAGGGCGUGUAGGCGGGUUUGCAAGUCAGAUGUGAAAAUUAUGGGCUCAACCCAUAACCUGCGUCUGAAACUGUAGAUCUUGAGAGUGGGAGAGGUAAACGGAAUUCCUGGUGUAGCGGUGAAAUGCGUAGAUAUCAGGAGGAACACCAGUGGCGAAGGCGGAGUACUGGACCACAACUGACGCUGAGGCGCGAAAGCGUGGGGAGCAAACAGGAUUAGAUACCCGGGUAGUC